rnacentral:rRNA from 1 species
CCUGGUGGCCAUAGCGAAUGUGCCCCACCCGAUCCCAUUCCGAACUCGGAAGUGAAACCGUUUAGCGCCGAUGAUAGUGUGGAUUUAUCCAUGUGAAAGUAGGGAACUGCCAGGC